rnacentral:rRNA from 1 species
UGACGUCAAGUCAUCAUGGCCCUUAUGUCCAGGGCGACACACGUGCUACAAUGGCGGCACACGGGAAAGCGAGUUCGCGAGGAACGAGCGGAUCCCUCAAAGCCGGUCGCAGUUCGGAUUGAAGUCUGCAACUCGACUUCAUGAAGCUGGAAUCGCUAGUAAUCGUGGAUCAGCCAAGCCGCGGUGAAUACGUUCCCGGGCCUU